UCUCAGAUCAAGGGAAGAAACCAGAAUAGGAGUCUGGGUACAGGUCUAAAAUAAUAUGAGAUUAAAUAAUGCAACAACGUUUAGCAAAUAAAUAGUUUUACUUAGAAAGUUAAACAAAGAAUGACAAGUAAUCAUAUGUUCUACCAACAAGUAAUGGUUGUCAAACAAUGAUAACCCCAAAUCCCAAUGAUCACCCCACACGAUAAUCUGCUAGUGUGAUAAUGUAAAGGUUUCAACCAAUUUACCAGAGCGGACCAGUUCUGUAAUCCGUAAAAUAGGAGAGAUGCGAACUUUUUGUUUUAGACCCACGAUUUUUGCCUAAAGUAAUUCAGUAAAUAUAUAUAGCAAUUGCGACCAUCGAGCCACCAAGGGUAAAAUCAUCCAACUUUUGCUGCAAUACCUAAAACGAAAGACUAACGACACACAUAUUUUAGAAAUGUCAAAAUAAAGAUUCUGUCUAAAGAAAUCAUCAUCGAAAUCCUCUCCACGCGUUUACACGAGCCACCGCCGGAGUCCCACGUGUCGCCUCACGCACCGUCCAGUCAGCUUCUCCUUUGCCUGUUGAGUUCGAAUCGAUUCUUUUUGCUUCAGCUGCGUUUUCUUCAGGUUUUGGUUUCCCACCAAACUCUGAUACCAAUUUUUGAUACUAAUUCCACCUACAAUUGAACAAAUCAACUAUGUGAGCUAUGGAAUUAACUUAAACAAUUAAGGAAAUCAAAAAGAAAAACAAAAUUUGAAGAAUGAAGAACAAUGAAUUUUCCCUUUUUAAUUCGGCUUAGAAAAGUCAAUCCAACACCAAGAAGGCAGCAACAAAUUGGAGACUUUUGCAAUCAUAGAGAUAGAAGCACACAAAGGCAGAAACUGGGUUUCAAAAUGCACGUAGUGAGGCCGAUUGGUGUGUUUUUAAAAAUGAGGCCGAGAGACUCCAAUUUAUAGACAAGGGACAAACAAAUUUCCCAGAAUUUUUCGGCAAGAUAGAGUUCAAGAAAGCUGAAAAUGGUUACCAAGGAUAAGUAUAGUGCAACCAUCUAACUCUCCCAUGGGAAAAGGGAUAGAAAUCCCUUUUUCAAAUUAUC
rnacentral:lncRNA from 1 species